UUUCCGGAUAAAUCAGAAGUUCAAUGUCUUCACAGAUGGAAAAAAGUUCUUAAUCCUGAACUUGUUAAAGGACAUUGGACAAAGGAGGAGGAUGAUAAAAUAAUUGAACUGGUGUCGAUACAUGGACCUACAAAAUGGUCUUUGAUAGCCCAAUCAUUGCCCGGUAGAAUAGGAAAACAGUGCCGAGAACGAUGGUGCAAUCAUCUUAGUCCAGACAUAAAGAAGGAUCCCUGGACUUUGGAGGAGGAAUUAGCCCUUAUGAAAGCUCAUUGUACACAUGGCAACAAAUGGGCUGAAAUAGCCAAGGUUCUAUGUGGA
rnacentral:sRNA from 1 species